UACGUAGGGUCCGAGCGUUUGUCCGGAAUUACUGGGCGUAAAGAGCUCGUAGGUGGUUUGUCGCGUUGUUCGUGAAAACUCACAGCUCAACUGUGGGCGUGCGGGCGAUACGGGCAGACUUGAGUUCGGUAGGGGAGACUGGAAUUCCUGGUGUAGCGGUGAAAUGCGUAGAUAUCUGGAGGAACACCGGUGGCGAAGGCGGCAUCCUGGACCGGUAUUGACACUGAGGCGCGAAAGCCAGGGGAGCAAACAGG
rnacentral:rRNA from 1 species